GGGUGAUUAGCUCAGCUGGGAGAGCACCUCCCUUACAAGGAGGGGGUCGGCGGUUCGAUCCCGUCAUCAAUCCC
rnacentral:tRNA from 1 species